UACGUAGGGAGCAAGCGUUGUCCGGAAUCAUUGGGCGUAAAGCGCGCGUAGGCGGCCUCAUAAGUCCGUUGUGAAAGUCAAAGGCUCAACCUUUGAAAGCCGAUGGAUACUGUGAGGCUAGAGUCCGGAAGAGGCGAGUGGAAUUCCUGGUGUAGCGGUGGAAUGCGCAGAUAUCAGGAGGAACACCGGUGGCGAAGGCGGGUCUCUGGGCCGAAAUUGACGCUGAGGAGCGAAAGCGUGGGGAGCAAACAGG
rnacentral:rRNA from 1 species